rnacentral:rRNA from 1 species
AGAGUUUGAUCCUGGCUCAGGAUGAACGCUAGCGACAGGCUUAACACAUGCAAGUCGAGGGGCAGCGGUGGUGAAGGCUUGCCUUUACCAGCCGGCGACCGGCGCACGGGUGAGUAACACGUAUGCAACCUGCCUGCCACAGCCGGAUAAUCGGGAGAAAUUCCGUCUAAUACGGCAUAAUGCACCUAUGGGACAUCCUGUUGGUGCCAAAGGUUGAUUCCGGUGGCGGAUGGGCAUGCGUCGCAUUAGUUAGUUGGCGGUGUAACGGACCACCAAGACGACGAUGCGUAGGGGUUCUGAGAGGAAGGUCCCCCACACUGGUACUGAGACACGGACCAGACUCCUACGGGAGGCAGCAGUGAGGAAUAUUGGUCAAUGGGCGGGAGCCUGAACCAGCCAAGUCGCGUGAGGGAUGACGGCCCUAUGGGUUGUAAACCUCUUUUGCCGGGGAGCAAAGUGCCGCACGUGUGCGGUUUGGAGAGUACCCUGAGAAAAAGCAUCGGCUAACUCCGUGCCAGCAGCCGCGGUAAUACGGAGGAUGCGAGUGUUAUCCGGAUUUAUUGGGUUUAAAGGGUGCGUAGGCGGACGCUUAAGUCAGCGGUAAAAUUGCGGGGCUCAACCUCGUCGAGCCGUUGAAACUGGGUGCCUUGAGUGGGCGAGAAGUACGCGGAAUGCGUGGUGUAGGGGUGAAAGGCAUAGAUAUCACGGAGAACUUCCGAUUGGGAAGGCAGCGUACCGGCGCCCAACUGACGCUGAAGCACGAAGGCGUGGGUAUCGAACAGGAUUAGAUACCCUGGUAGUCCACGCAGUAAACGAUGAAUGCUGGCUGUCCGGGGGGAUUGACCCCUGGGUGGCGAAGCGAAAGCGAUAAGCAUUCCACCUGGGGAGUACGCCGGCAACGGUGAAACUCAAAGGAAUUGACGGGGGCCCGCACAAGCGGAGGAACAUGUGGUUUAAUUCGAUGAUACGCGAGGAACCUUACCCGGGCUCAAACGGGGAGUGACUCAGGCAGAGACGCCUGUUUCCCACGGGACACUCCCCGAGGUGCUGCAUGGUUGUCGUCAGCUCGUGCCGUGAGGUGUCGGCUUAAGUGCCAUAACGAGCGCAACCCCCGCGUGCAGUUGCUAACAGAUAACGCUGAGGACUCUGCACGGACUGCCGGCGCAAGCCGCGAGGAAGGCGGGGAUGACGUCAAAUCAGCACGGCCCUUACGUCCGGGGCGACACACGUGUUACAAUGGGUGGUACAGCGGGAAGCCAGGCGGCGACGCCGAGCGGAACCCGAAAUCCACUCUCAGUUCGGAUCGGAGUCUGCAACCCGACUCCGUGAAGCUGGAUUCGCUAGUAAUCGCGCAUCAGCCAUGGCGCGGUGAAUACGUUCCUCGGGCCUUGCACACACCGGCCGUCA